UCUGGUGACAAUAGCCAACCUGGCACCACCUCUUCCCAUACCGAACAGAGAAGUGAAACUGGUUGGCGCCGAUGAUACUACAUUCAUUGCGUAUUGUGGGAAAGUAGGUAUUGCCGGAA
rnacentral:rRNA from 2 species